UUCAGAAUCUCAGCCUCCUCCAAAAUAGACACAGAGGUCGGACACUGUCAUCCUGGAGCUCAGAGCUCAGUGGGGAAGAUGGAGUAUGAAUAAAGUGUUACAACGCAACGUGUCCAGCUUCUGCAGGAGGAAGUACAGAAGCUCCGAGAUUAGGCCACACAGGGUCGAAACCUGCUCCUGCCGCUGACUGGCUGUCUGUCCUUCAUCAGGUCAUUUAACCUCUAAAUGUUGCCAACGCCAUUCUACGUGAAUGAAGGUUUCUGGAGUGCUUGCACCCAGAGAAGGUUGUGAGAUCGUUGUCAUCACCCAGACGUGGUAGCAGACACCUGCACUCACAUUCAGAUGAAUCUGGGGCUGGCCUGGGACCUCGAUGCAGACAUCUGGUUGCAGCCGAAAGACAUCGUCCCUCACCUUAAAUUAAGGACGUUAACGUGAAAUGGACUGGUCUUGUAGUUUUGUUUGUACUUGAUUUUUAAGUUUGUUUUGGUUUUAGAGUUGUGUAAGAGCUAAAAGAAUAAGGAAGUUUUACCAGGAUGUCUGUUUGUAAAUAUUUAAUUUAUGUUUGAAUAAAAGUAAUUCAAGUGACACUAGAGCUCCUGGAGCAGUUUCGGAGGGGGAUUUGUACAUGACUCAGGUUGGAGAAACAUGGCGGAAGCUUCUCCCUCUGCCCUUCACGCUGGCUUCCCUGCCUUCUCUUCUCUCUCUGCUCUAAGCUAUAUCCUUUAACCCGAGGCUGGCAGACAUCUUCUGUGCAGGGUAGAUAGUAAAUACUUUUAAUGAUCUCUGCUGUUUAGCACACAAGUGGCCAUAGACAAG